UCGUAAAUCAUUUAUGAUUCUACGAAAAAACCUCUGUCCGUCUCGCCGCAGAUGUGCGCUUCAUACUUUAUGGUGUGUCGCGCGCGGAGGCGAGCGGGCGACCGCACUGAUGUCACACGAGUACUCUAAACAGAGGGGAAAGGUGAAUUAAAAGGCGUGGGAACGGCCGCAGCUAGCACCCCUUGGGGUGGAAGGCGGGCCGAGGCGCGUCUAUGGUUGCAGCUAGCACCCUUCGGGGUGGAAGGCGGACCGUACUGAAAAAGAGAUGGUUCUGGUUGCGGCUAGCACCCUUCGCGGGUGGAAGGCGGACCGAACUUGACUCGAAAGUCACGGUAAACGAGAAGUAAACGUGUCGUCUUCUUUUGCGUUUCGACCGAGGCCUGGGACUGCCAGUCUCCUUUGCCGGCCGAGGUCGCUUCUGCUUGUCGACGAAUCACGAUGUUUUUAAAGCUUUUGCGCCGUGCACGUAAGACCAACUCGUCUCGCUCCCUUUCGAUUUGAGCGUGCGGACUGUCUGCAAACAUUGCCUUGUUGGCACACUGCAGGGACCGCACCGUCGAUCGUGGCAGCCGAGACGGGGCGCCUUACUCUGUGUCUUUGGACGGAGAGUUUGGCGUUUUCGAAGAGACUACACUCUUUAGAUGUACUUUCAAUACGCGUAGAAAAGCUUACGAAAGUCUCUCGAGAGGUUCGCCCUUUAGCGCGAUGCGGGCUGGCUUCUGCCGCCUAGACGGUCUCUUCUGAAUUUGGCGACCAGUUUCACGGGCCCUGGGUCUUCUGCUCCUUUACGGGUAGUUGUCCUGG
rnacentral:misc_RNA from 1 species